CCUACGGGAGGCAGCAGUGAGGAAUAUUGGUCAAUGGACGAGAGUCUGAACCAGCCAAGUAGCGUGAAGGAUGACUGCCCUAUGGGUUGUAAACUUCUUUUAUAAAGGAAUAAAACGAGGCACGUGUGCCUUUUUGCAUGUACUUUAUGAAUAAGGAUCGGCUAACUCCGUGCCAGCAGCCGCGGUAAUACGGAGGAUCCGAGCGUUAUCCGGAUUUAUUGGGUUUAACGGGAGCGUAGAUGGGUUGUUAAGUCAGUUGUGAAAGUUUGCGGCUCAACCGUAAAAUUGCAAUUGAUACUGGCAGUCUUGAGUGCAGUUGAGGUAGGCGGAAUUCGUGGUGUAGCGGUGAAAUGCUUAGAUAUCACGAAGAACUCCGAUUGCGAAGGCAGCUUACUAAACUGCCACUGACAUUGAUGCUCGAAAGUGUGGGGAUCAAACAGGAUUAGAUACCCUUGUAGUC
rnacentral:rRNA from 1 species